GGGUGUUUGGUCUAGUUGUAUGAUUCUCGCUUUGGGUGUGAGAGGUCGUGAGUUCAAUUCACACAACACCUC
rfam:Ipomoea nil DNA, scaffold: scaffold3056, cultivar: Tokyo-kokei standard.